GAUGAACGCUGGCGGCGUGCCUAAUACAUGCAAGUCGAGCGAACGGACGAGAAGCUUGCUUCUCUGAUGUUAGCGGCGGACGGGUGAGUAACACGUGGAUAACCUACCUAUAAGACUGGGAUAACUUCGGGAAACCGGAGCUAAUACCGGAUAAUAUUUUGAACCGCAUGGUUCAAAAGUGAAAGACGGUCUUGCUGUCACUUAUAGAUGGAUCCGCGCUGCAUUAGCUAGUUGGUAAGGUAACGGCUUACCAAGGCAACGAUGCAUAGCCGACCUGAGAGGGGGAUCGGCCACACUGGAACUGAGCCACGGUCCAGACUCCUACGGGAGGCAGCAGAAGGGAAUCUUCCGCAAUGGGCGAAAGCCUGACGGAGCAACGCCGCGUGAGUGAUGAAGGUCUUCGGAUCGUAAAACUCUGUUAUAAGGGAAGAACAUAUGUGUAAGUAACUGUGCACAUCUUGACGGUACCUAAUCAGAAAGCCACGGCUAACUACGUG
rnacentral:rRNA from 1 species